UACGUAGGGUCCGAGCGUUGUCCGGAAUUAUUGGGCGUAAAGGGCUCGUAGGCGGUUUGUCGCGUCGGGGAGUGAAAACUCGGGGCUCAACCCCGCGCUUGCAUUCGAUACGGGCAGGCUCGAGUUCGGUAGGGGAGACUGGAAUUCCUGGUGUAGCGGUGGAAUGCGCAGAUAUCAGGAGGAACACCCGAUGGCGAAGGCAGGUCACUGGGCCGCAACUGACGCUGAGGAGCGAAAGCAUGGGGGAGCGAACAGG
rnacentral:rRNA from 1 species